CACACCUACCAGAGGGGUUAUGAUUUAAAAAAUCAGGAAAUAACAAGCAUUGGCAAGGAUGUGGAGAAAUUGGAGUCCCUUUUUAUUACUGAUAGGAGUUUAAAACGAUGCAGCUACUAUGGAAAACAGUUUGAUGGUUUCUCUACACGUUAAACAUACAAUUACCACUUGACCCAACAAUUGCACUUCUAGGUGUACAACCACAGGAAUUGAAAACAAGGACCGGAAUGGACAUUUGUACCCACUGUUCCUACAGAAUUAUUCACAACGGCCAGAGGGUGGAAAUAACUUACAAGUCUAUCAGCUGAUGAGAGAUAAGAAAUGUGGUAUAUCCAUGCAAUGAAAUAUUACUCAGCCAUAAAAAGGAAUGAAGUUUGGAUGAACCCUGGAAAACAUUAUGCUAAGUGGAAUAAGCCAGUGACUAAAAUCUCUGAUAUGACAAAUAUAUGAUACUGCCUAUGUGAAAUAUCUAGCAUACACAAGCUCAUAGAGACAGGAAGUAGAUUAGAGGUUACCGGAGCUUGGGGGAGGGAAGAAUGGAGACUUUACUGCGUGACGGUUACAGAGUUUUCUGUUCAGGGAAGAGAUUUGGAAAUGGAUGGUGGUGACAGUGGCACAGCAGUGCAAAUGUUAGUAACACCCCUGAAUUGUGUCUCAGUCACUGGGAGGCUGAGGAGGGAGGAUUGUUUGAGCCAGGGAUUCGGAGGCCAGCCUGGGCAACAUAGUGAGACUCCAUCUCUAAAAAUAAAUCUAAAAAUGAUGAAAGUGGCAAGAUUUGUUAUAUACAUUUUACUACAAUAAAAAGUUAGAAAAAAUUGUGGGACUCUUUGGAGUGCAAUUAACAACAUUGAGUUAUAUUUCUCCUUCUCCAGACGAACAUCUGACAUGUGUGGAUCAGAAAUGAUGGUGGAGUAGCUGCCCUCUGACAUAGCUAUAGACCAUGUGGAAAUGGUGUUCGGUAAACCCUUGACGUCCGAAGGGGUACACGACGUCCGAAGGGGUACACGACGUCCGAAGGGGUACACGUGCAGACCUUUGCAAGUCUCCAGUAGAGGGCUGCAGAAAUGUCUGUAGAAUCUCUUGGCUUUCCUCAGACUCAUGUUUUCAUAGAGAAAUAAGUGUUUCCUGUGUAUUUUCUCACCUGCGAGUUUGUCCUCUCACGAAUGGCCGUGUUUCACGAGGAAAUAAAGUUUUCAGCAUUUGGGAGUGU